GUCGUAACAAGGUUUCCGUAGGUGAACCUGCGGAAGGAUCAUUAUCGUACAAUGGAGGUGCUGGGGUUGUCGCUGACUUUUGAAAUGGUCGUGCACGCCUUGAUACUCUCACAUACAAUCCAUCUCACCCCUCUUGGGCAUCACCGCGUGGAGGCCCCUUUUGGCUAGUUCUAAAAGGUUUUUAAGUUUUUGAUCCCGCCUCGGUUUUAUCGCAAUGAGUACAACGUCAUACUUUUGCGAUCACACGCAAUUAAUACAACUUUCAACAACGGAUCUCUUGGCUCUCGCAUCGAUGAAGAACGCAGCGAAAUGCGAUACGUAAUGUGAAUUGCAGAAUUCAGUGAAUCAUCGAAUCUUUGAACGCACCUUGCGCCCUUUGGUAUUCCGAAGGGCACACCCGUUUGAGUGUCGUGUACAUCCUCAAACCUUCUUGGUUUCUCAACCAGGAAGGCUUUGGACUCUGGAGGUUCUUGCUGGCCUUACUUUGUUGAAGCCAGCUCCUCUAAAAUGAAUUAGUGGGAUCUGCCUUGCGGAUACUUGACGUGAUAAGAUAUUUCUACGUCUUGGAUCUCGCACUGUUCGCUCUGGAUCCUGCUUCUAACCGUCUCAUAGAAGACAAU
rnacentral:rRNA from 1 species